CCCUUAGAUGUUCUGGGCUGCACGCGCGCUACACUGAUGCGUUCAACGAGUAACUAACCUUGUCCGAUAGGAUUGGGUAACCUUUUGAAAACGCAUCGUGAUGGGGAUAGAUUAUUGUAAUUGUUAGUCUUCAACGAGGAAUUCCCAGUAAGUGCGGGUCAUCAGCUCGCGUUGAUUACGUCCCUGCCCUUUGUACACACCGCCCGUCGCUGCCCGGAACUGAGCCGUUUCGAGAAGACUGAGGAUUGCUGACUUGAGGCCUUCACGGGCUUCUAGUCGGUGAAAAUCAAUUUAAUCGCAGCGGCUUGAACCGGGCAAAAGUCGUAACA
rnacentral:rRNA from 1 species